CUGAUGACUAUCAUAGGGAAUAAUAAA
rnacentral:piRNA from 1 species